rnacentral:rRNA from 1 species
GUUGUAUGGUUAAGUGACUAAGCGUACACGGUGGAUGCCUUGGCAGUCAGAGGCGAUGAAGGACGUAUUAACUUGCGAUAAGCCCAGAUUAGGUAGUAAAAACCAUUUGAGUCUGGGAUUUCCGAAUGGGGAAACCCAAUACCAUAAGGUAUUACUGUUGAGUGAAUACAUAGC